rnacentral:rRNA from 1 species
GACGAACGCUGGCGGCGUGCCUAAUACAUGCAAGUAGGACGCAGUUGCGAACGGGUGAGUAACGCGUAGGUAACUACCUAUUAGAGGGGGAUAACUAUUGGAAACGAUAGCUAAUACCGCAUACUCGUAGAUGGACCUGCUUUGUAUUAGCUAGUAGGUAGGGUAAUGGCCUACCUAGGCAACGAUACAUAGCCGACAGGAGAGGGUGAUCGGCACCACUGGGACGGAGACACGCCCCAGAUUCCGACGGGAGGCACAAGUAGGGAAUCUUCGGCAAGGGGGGCAACAUUGACCUAGAAACGCCGCGUGAUUAAAGAAGUUUUUCGGACCGUAAGGCUCGUUUGUUAAGAAAGCGGUACUUAACCAGAAAGGAACGGCUAACUACGUGCCAGCCGCCGCGGUAAUU